rnacentral:rRNA from 1 species
CAGUAGCCACGGUAAUACGUAGGUGGCGAGCGUUGUCCGGAAUUAUUGGGCGUAAAGUGAGCGCAGGCGGACAUAUAAGUCCAUCUUAAAAGUGCGGGGCUCAACCCCGUGAGGGGAUGGAAACUGUAUGCCUUGAGUGCAGGAGAGGAAAGCGGAAUUCCCAGUGUAGCGGUGAAAUGCGUAGAUAUUGGGAGGAACACCAGUGGCGAAGGCGGCUUUCUGGACUGUAACUGACGCUGAGGCUCGAAAGCCAGGGGAGCGAACGGGAUUAGAUACCCCAGUAGUCCCUGUCUCUUAUACA